CUCCUCCUCCCUAUUAUCAUUAUACUAGCGGGGAUAGUUGAGUAGCAGUAGCGACCUUUGAUGGAGCAAAUCAUCAUCAUCGCACCAUUAUCAACGUUGGUACAAGCAGCAGCCACCACCGCCGAAGAAAUAGAAGAAGAAGAUGACGAUGAUGAUGAAGGGGAUACAAGAGAUUUCUUCGACAACAUCAUCGUAGCAUUCGCGGUGAUAUCUACACAACGAAGAGCCGAAGAUAUUGGGGCCGUGGGGCGAUUGAGGGGAGAACAGGCUGAAGCUGCCCCCCCCGCCGACGGUAAAGCCAGAGUUGUUGGGCUCAUGUCUCUCUAAGUUUGCCUAACAGUCCCUACCAAAAAUAUAAGCAGUU
rnacentral:misc_RNA from 1 species